rnacentral:rRNA from 1 species
CAUUAAUGAAAUUAUGACUGGGGUUGUAGCUGGCCCAUAAAACGGGCAUGUGCACGCUCCUUUCACAAUCCACACACACCUGUGCACCUUCGCGGGGGUCCUCUUUCCUUUUGGGAAGAAGGCUCGCGUCCCUUUACACACCCUCUGUAUGUCUUAAGAAUGUCUACUCGAUGUAAUAAAACGCAUCUAAUACAACUUUCAACAACGGAUCUCUUGGCUCUCGCAUCGAUGAAGAACGCAGCGAAAUGCGAUAAGUAAUGUGAAUUGCAGAAUUCAGUGAAUCAUCGAAUCUUUGAACGCACCUUGCGCCCUUUGGUAUUCCGAAGGGCACACCUGUUUGAGUGUCGUGAAAUUCUCAACCCUCCUCGCUUUUUUUGCGAACGUAGGGAUUGGACUUGGAGGCUUUGCCGGGCUGCUUCUUGUCGCUCGGCUCCUCUCAAAUGCAUUAGUGCGUCUUGUUGCGACGUGCGCCUCGGUGUGAUAAUUAUCUACGCUGUGGUGUGCUUGCUUCUGUGGAGACACGCUUUCGAACCGUCCGAAAGGACAGCUUUCAUCGAACUUUGACCUC